GAGGCUCUGCCCAUCAGGGUGGCAGGACCAGCUAUUUUUAGCCAAGAGCCAUUUUUAGCCCUGUCACUCCCCCAAGGCAGAUUUCAGCCUGUGGGCAAGCUGCUGGUGAGAAAGGGUUAAGUGUCUCCUGCUCGCGAUUGCCUCCCCGGUCCCUAGACCCCUCUCUGGGCACCUCCCAGAGAAUAGUUUCUGCCAGCAGACUGCUCAGUCUCUGUCAUAAGCUUUGGAUAUAUCCACCCAUGAAUAUGCAGGAUGUCCCGUGAAGUUUCAGUAGUUUGAAGCUCCAAUCACUUCAAAAGUACAAAGCCCAUAAACUCUCAAAAACAUCAUUUGAAACAAAUUAACUUUUUUACGCCUACUUAGUCUUAUGACUUUUGAAUACUACAUUUUUUUUGUUUCAGUUUUUGAUCUCUGUCCUUUUGAUUAAAGACGACAAAUGCUGACUGAACCGAAAAAUUAAAUGCGUAAAAUUUAAAAUGGGUUAUCAAAACCGGAAAGCUAAGUAAGUGUAAAAGAAAUUUAAGUAAUGGAGCUUUCAAAUGUGUUUUAUACACUGGGCAACUUACUUCUGAAGUCAUCCGAGCUUCAAAGGGCACUAAGACCGACGGGACGCCCUGUUUAAUGAAGGCAAGUGGUGCAGGUGGAAGUUAGGGGCAGAAGUGCUGCAGCAAGACUGUCUCAGGUUCAGCUCCCAGCCCCAGCCAUUACCAGCUGUGUGUCCUUUAUCGAGUUACCUAACCUCUCUGAACGUCAAGUUUUCUCAUCUGUUAAACACAGAUGAUGACAGUACCUACCAUCUGCUGGGGUUGUUUCAAGGCAAGGAAAAAAAUGCACAUAAAGCUUUAGCACAGUGGCUGGGGCAAAAGCACUCAGGCUUAUCUACAUGGACCCUGAGGUCCUAGGGCAGCUGACUGAGAUGAAGACCCUGCUCUAGCAGAUUCCAAGCCAAUGAGAUAAGGCCAAGAAGUCCAGGGACGGGCAGCCCUCUGGUGAGGAUCAAGGCCUUCUGAGAGCCUUGGUGGGCUAGGAGUGAGAGAGCCCAGCUUCUUGGGGCACAGUGCUCUGUUUCGGACCCUGGCUCCUGGCCCGCUGUCGAGAUGCACAGCUGGGCAGACCCACAGAUGCACGGCACAGCUGGAGAGGGCCUCGAAAGUCCGAUUGCUACCCAGGUUCUAAGAGUUCUCGCCUAAGCAUUUAAGAACGUGAGCCAUGGGCCAUCAAGAGACAGCGCCCCACUUGGAAAGAAGGCCAGAGUGGGGGAGGCAGGAGAGCUCCAGCACCCUGGAUGCCCGCCCUCUGCCGCCCUCCUGCACCCCUGCACGUGCCACCGUCAGCCGUUCCGGUGCCGCCUGCACCGGAUGGAGAUGUUUUGGUGACUCUCUCACCUCCCAUUCCUUCAAGACCCAGCUUCAGCAAAGACCUAAACCUCAGGUAAGCUGCUUAAAUGCCUCCUCACCCAGGAAGCCCUCCUGGACCCCUAGACCCAAGCUUGUGCCCUCUUCACCCCUCCGAGGGCCCUGCUGUAUCCAACAUGGCUUCUCUCCGAUCUGUCUCCUCUGCUGGAGUGGGAGUCCCCAAGAGCAAGGCCUCUGUCUGCCUUCGCCUCUGUCUAGGUCACCUUGCCUGGGCCUGGUGUAUGUUAGGAGUUCAAGAAAUACUUGAAUGAAUGAAUCAAUCAAGAGAGAGGGAAAGCAGGUUGGAAAGGAUGUGUCUUGCAGGCUUCACUGCUUGAUUAAUGGCCUGCAAUUUUAUUUCCUGCUGUUCCACUGAGCCCCCAGAUUCUGCCCUGCCCUACCUCCACCCUCCUUGCCUUUGCCUAUGCCGUGCCCCCUUCCUGGAAUGCCUUCUGCUCUUCUGCCCAAUCUUGACUUCCUCCUAGUCUGUCACCCUUCCUCUCUUCCAUACCACUCCAGACUCCCACCGUCUCUCCUGGGGCUGCCUUCUGUUGCCCUGCGUCUGUGUGUCCACCCUCCUCCUGAAGAAAUCAGACCCCUGCAGUGCCGCCCCAGAGCAGAGGCACAGCAAAUGCAUUGAGAUGUUGGAAUGGCUGCGGCUGAGAUGUCCUAAGACAAGACAGAAGGCCACCAGGUGUGAAUCUCAGCUCUGACUCCUCAUGAGUCACACCUUGGAUCUCAGUUUCACUUGUAAAAUAAAGCAAAUGGGCUGAACUUUAAAAUACCAUGUUCUCAAUUCUGGGAGGAAAAGUGGGCCUAAUCCAGAUAUAGCCGGAGCUACCAGCCUCAGUGGGGCAACGACCCAGAGAUGGAUGGAUGAAUGAGUUAUAGCUUCAUUCAUGGAGUUCAUGCUAUAGGCCAGACCUCAGAAUGGAUGUUAUCCAGACACUGUCUCAUUAAUCUCAGAGCUAAGUCCAUAAAGUAAACAGAACCUCAGAGAAGUUAAGUCAUCUGCCCGAGGACACCCAGCAUUUACGUGACAGCUGGAAUCUAGGUCUGUCUGAAUUUAAGGGCUGUGUUUCUCCACCAGAGGAUGCUGCUACUCAGAUGCAAGGAUGGGACACAUUAUGAAGGUUUUCAAUGAACGGCUCAGGGGAAAUGCCGCCUCUUUCCUGAGAACGCUGCCCCACCAAGGCUGUAAACACGUGUGUACGUGCACACACAGGCACACACCCAACUAUGGUGCGGGACUCCGAUCUACAGUUUGCAGCCUGGGUAUGGAUGCUGCCUCCACUAAUUUUGGAGACGUUCCCAGGCUUUCUCAGUUUCAGCUUCUUUAGCUCCGACAGAGGCAUCCACCCCACUGUUGGGAGAUUCACCAGGAUAAAGUCUGGGCCCCGGAGGCUCAGACUGGUACAGAAGGCACCCUCAGGAACUGGGGGUUGUCAGCAUUCACCGCCCAGUGAUUGCUGUCACCGUCUCGCCCUCGCACACAGGUCACAAUUGUCUGGCCUGGCCAGGCAAGGCCUGAAGCCCCCACCCGU